GACGAACGCUGGCGGCGCGCCUAACACAUGCAAGUCGAACGAGCGAGAGAGAGCUUGCUUUCUCGAGCGAGUGGCGAACGGGUGAGUAACGCGUGAGGAACCUGCCUCAAAGAGGGGGACAACAGUUGGAAACGACUGCUAAUACCGCAUAAGCCCACGACCCGGCAUCGGGUAGAGGGAAAAGGAGCAAUCCGCUUUGAGAUGGCCUCGCGUCCGAUUAGCUAGUUGGUGAGGUAACGGCCCACCAAGGCGACGAUCGGUAGCCGGACUGAGAGGUUGAACGGCCACAUUGGGACUGAGACACGGCCCAGACUCCUACGGGAAGCAGCAGUGGGGAAUAAUGCACAAUGGGGGAAACCCUGAUGCAGCGACGCCGCGUGGAGGAAGAAGGUCUUCGGAUUGUAAACUCCUGUUGUUGAGGAAGAUAAUGACGGUACUCAACAAGGAAGUGACGGCUAACUACGUG
rnacentral:rRNA from 1 species